AUGCUGUACAUCAUGGGUAACCUGGAGGACAUCAACGGCGAGUAUGUGCUGGUGGGGGUGGACAUGGAGGGGAAAGUGUGGAAGACUAUCCGUGUGCCGUACGGUUCAAAAUUUGGUACUAUUGGAUUGUCGCAGGGGUGCUUACACUAUGUUGUAGCUCCUGUAAAUAAUAACAAUGAAAUCCUAGUUUCUGAGAUAGCACUCUGGUGCCUCAAGGAUUGUGACAGUAAACAAUGGGUCCUGAAGCAUACUGCCAGCAUCGAUACGCUUAUGAGCAUGACUGAGGAGAAGUACAGGGUGGUUGAGAUUCAUCCAGAUUGCGACACAAUUUUCCUGGCUCGGUAUGGAGGUGAUACCUUGGUAUCAUAUGACAUGUGGCAUCAGAAAGUUGGCUGUAUCAUUAAUCUUGAGAAAAACAGUGUACAGAAAUUUCUACCCUAUGUUCCUGUAUUCUCGGAGCCAUUAGCAGAUGCUGAGGGGUAG
rnacentral:rRNA from 1 species